ACAGGGUACAGAGUAAUCAUUGGAGAUCAUGAUUUUUUCAGGAUGGGGUAAUGAUGAAUGGUACAGCUAUGAAUAUCUGAGCACAGAUUUCUGGUUGAGCACCGACUCUGCUAUCUUCGUUGUUCCCCAACUAAGACAACUUGAAUGGCAUGCAGGUUCCGGAUUCUGUAUUGGUUGAGGUAUGUCUCCCUAAAACUUUAUAUUUUGAAUCUUUCAAGUGGAAUAAAUAGUAUAACACAGAGAAUGACUAUGCUUGUCACUCAGAAUUCAGUACAAAUUAAUGUCAUAAAACAUGAACUACUUUUUCUAGGUUUGUUACUGAUUAUCUUCAAUUGGAUUAUACUCAGUUCUUGUAGCUUUUGUAAUAAAUGAUGUUUCCAUAGAUUUCCUGGAAGUAAAAAGUUUAAUCAGUCACUCUAUUUCAUGCAACUAACAACUGAUUAAUUCAGUAGUCAACUAUUUUU